AUGAUUAAGAAAUGGAACAGAGGUAGACAGUGGCUGCGUUUGCGGUGGCUGCAAGGCGGGAGAAGCAGAGGCUGCGGCGGCUGGCCUGGCUGAGGCCCCAGCUGCUGGACAGGCAGCAGCGCAGUGGUUUGUUGGGUAAAUGGAAAAUUGAUGAUAAGCCUGUACAAACUGAUAAAUGGGAUGGGUCUGCUGUGAAAAACUCUUUGGAUUAUUCCGCCAAAAAGGUACUCCUGGAAAAGUACAAGUAUGUGGAGAAUUUUGGUCUGACAGUGGCCUCACCAUCUCUACUUCUCCUAUUUCUUUGCCAUAGUGGCUUUGAUUUGGGAUUACAUGCACCCCUUUCCAGAGUCCAAGCCAGGUUUGUCUUUGUGUAUUAUAUCGUAUUUUGUGAUGAUGAGGAUUCUGACCAUUUAUACCUCGUAUAAGGAGAAGAGCAUCUUUCUUGUGACCCACAGAAAAGAUCCUACAGGGAUGGAUCCUGAUGAUAUUUGGCAACUAUUCUCCAGUCUCAACAGGUUUGAUGACAAGUACACCCUGAAGUUGACCUUCAUCAAUGGGAGAACAAAGCAGCAGCGGGAAGCCGAGUUCACCAAACCCACUGCUAAGCUUUUGACCACAGCGGGACAUUGGUCAUGGAUGCAUAUGAACCUGAAAUAUCCAGACUCCAUGACAGUCUAGCACAGAAAGAAAAAUAA